rnacentral:rRNA from 1 species
CCUACGGGAGGCAGCAGUGAGGAAUAUUGGUCAAUGGACGAGAGUCUGAACCAGCCAAGUAGCGUGAAGGAUGACUGCCCUAUGGGUUGUAAACUUCUUUUAUAAAGGAAUAAAACGAGGCACGUGUGCCUUUUUGUAUGUACUUUAUGAAUAAGGAUCGGCUAACUCCGUGCCAGCAGCCGCGGUAAUACGGAGGAUCCGAGCGUUAUCCGGAUUUAUUGGGUUUAAAGGGAGCGUAGAUGGGUUGUUAAGUCAGUUGUGAAAGUUUGCGGCUCAACCGUAAAAUUGCAAUUGAUACUGGCAGUCUUGAGUACAGUUGAGGUAAGCGGAAUUCGUGGUGUAGCGGUGAAAUGCUUAGAUAUCACGAAGAACCCCGAUUGCGAAGGCAGCUUACUAAACUGUGACUGACAUUGAUGCUCGAAAGUGUGGGUAUCAAACAGGAUUAGAUACCCCAGUAGUC